AUAAGUUUCAUUGCUUUUCGUCAGUGAUGCUAGUACAACAAGGAGGGUUAACUACCAUUCUCAGAUUCCGAACAUUUGAAUUGUUCAUGAAUGUUUGGUUAUCUUUUACUGCAGACAUUACUUCAAGAUCAACAACAUGCCUUUCAGAUACAGCCUCUGUUUGGCUGCUUUACUAACAGGUAUAAAAGGAGACAAAAUAACACAACCAGAGCUGACUGACAAUGUUUAUGAAUAUGGCAAUACCCUAUUGUCAUGUAAUUUCACAGCAACUAGUAUAAGUGAGCCUAAUUUAUUUUGGUACCUGCAGAAGCCAAAUGGACCCAUUGAGUAUCUUGGACUUCAUGUGAGGAGAUAUACACUUAAGGCUACAAAUGGACACUUUUCAGCAGACCUUAAUUAUUCCAACAGUCAUGUAGUUUUAAAUAUCUCCAAUAUCCGGCUGUCUGACUCAGCAUUUUAUUAUUGUGCACUGAAGGACACAGUGAAUGACAUCUGUGCUAUGACUAUACAAGAACUUGAUGUGCUAUGACUAUACAAGAACUUGAUCUAAAUAUACACAAAUGCUAGGCUCUAUUAAAACACACCUUUGAACAAGAUGAUGCAUUUUAAUGGACAGCAUGCAUCUUCUAUAGUUCAGAAAUUACCAGACUGUACUGUAAACUUUAUUCCAGCACUUAACCAUUUUCUGCUCUGGCAAUUUUUCUGUAAUAGUUGUUACAAGCCGACUAUCCCAGAAGUAUUGGUGCAGCCCUAUGAGAAAC